GCAUCGGUGGUUCAGUGGUAAAAUGCCCGCCCGCCACGCGGGCUGCCCGGGUUCGAUUCCCGGCCGAUGCA
rnacentral:tRNA from 1 species